rnacentral:rRNA from 1 species
UAAUACGGAGGAUGCAAGCGUUCUCCGGAUUCAUUGGGUUUAAAGGGUGCGCAGGCGGAUUAAUAAGUCAGUGGUGAAAUCCUACGGCUCAACUGUAGAACUGCCAUUGAUACUGUUAGUCUUGAGUAUUGUUGAGGUAGGCGGAAUGUGUCAUGUAGCGGUGAAAUGCUUAGAUAUGACACAGAACACCGAUCGCGAAGGCAGCUUACCAAGCAAUAACUGACGCUCAUGCACGAAAGCGUGGGGAUCAAACAGGAUUAGAUACCCUGGUAGUCCACGCUGUAAACGAUGAACACUCGAUGUUGGCGAUACACAGUCAGCGUCUGAGCGAAAGUAUUAAGUGUUCCACCUGGGGAGUACGGUCGCAAGAUUGAAACUCAAAUGAAUUGACGG